rnacentral:rRNA from 1 species
GUGGGGAAUAUUGGACAAUGGGCGCAAGCCUGAUCCAGCAAUGCCGCGUGGAUGAAGAAGGUUUUCGGAUUGUAAAGUCCUUUCGGCGGGGACGAUGAUGACGGUACCCGCAGAAGAAGCCCCGGCUAACUUCGUGCCAGCAGCCGCGGUAAUACGAAGGGGGCUAGCGUUGCUCGGAAUGACUGGGCGUAAAGGGCGCGUAGGCGGUUUGGACAGUCAGAUGUGAAAUUCCUGGGCUUAACCUGGGGGCUGCAUUUGAUACGUUCAGGCUUGAGUGUGGAAGAGGGUCGUGGAAUUCCCAGUGUAGAGGUGAAAUUCGUAGAUAUUGGGAAGAACACCGGUGGCGAAGGCGGCGACCUGGUCCAUUACUGACGCUGAGGCGCGAAAGCGUGGGGAGCAAACAGG